AUACGAAGGGGGCAAGCGUUGUUCGGAAUAACUGGGCGUAAAGCGCACGUAGGCGGAAUGUUAAGUUAGAGGUGAAAUCCCAGGGCUCAACCCUGGAACGGCCUUUAAUACUGGCAAUCUAGAGACCGAGAGAGGUGAGUGGAAUUCCGAGUGUAGAGGUGAAAUUCGUAGAUAUUCGGAGGAACACCAGUGGCGAAGGCGGCUCACUGGCUCGGUACUGACGCUGAGGUGCGAAAGCGUGGGGAGCAAACAGAAUUAGAAACCCUAGUAGUCC
rnacentral:rRNA from 1 species